rnacentral:rRNA from 1 species
AAGGCUAAAACUCAAAGGAAUUGACGGGGGCCCGCACAAGCGGCGGAGCAUGCGGAUUAAUUCGAUGCAACGCGAAGAACCUUACCAAGGCUUGACAUGCACGAGAAGCCACCAGAGAUGGUGGUCUCUUUGGACACUCGUGCACAGGUGGUGCAUGGUUGUCGUCAGCUCGUGUCGUGAGAUGUUGGGUUAAGUCCCGCAACGAGCGCAACCCUCGUCCCAUGUUGCCAGCGGGUUAUGCCGGGGACUCAUGGGAGACUGCCGGGGUCAACUCGGAGGAAGGUGGGGAUGACGUCAAAUCAUCAUGCCCCUUAUGUCUUGGGCUUCACGCAUGCUACAAUGGCCGGUACAAAGGGCUGC